UACGGAGGUCUCAAGCGUUGUUCGGAUUCAUUGGGCGUAAAGGGUGCGUAGGUGGCGCCGUAAGUGGGGUGUGAAAUCUCGGGGCUUAACUCCGAAACUGCAUUCCAUACUGCGGUGCUCGAGGACUGGAGAGGAGACUGGAAUUUACGGUGUAGCAGUGAAAUGCGUAGAGAUCGUAAGGAAGACCAGUGGCGAAGGCGGGUCUCUGGACAGUUCCUGACACUGAGGCACGAAGGCCAGGGGAGCAAACGGG
rnacentral:rRNA from 1 species